rnacentral:rRNA from 1 species
GUUUAUGGCCAUACCACCCUGAAAGCACCCAAUCUUGUCUGAUCUCAGAAGCUAAGCAGGUUCAGGCCUGGUUAGUACUUGGAUGGGAGAAAUGAAAUUAAGUAAUGUCAUAAACU